rnacentral:rRNA from 1 species
GUUNUNUAAUUNGAUGCAACGNGAAGAACCUUACCAAGGCUUGACAUGAACUGGAAAUACCUGGAAACAGGUGCCCCGCUUGCGGUCGGUUUACAGGUGGUGCAUGGUUGUCGUCAGCUCGUGUCGUGAGAUGUUGGGUUAAGUCCCGCAACGAGCGCAACCCUCGUUCUAUGUUGCCAGCACGUUAUGGUGGGGACUCAUAGGAGACUGCCGGGGUCAACUCGGAGGAAGGUGAGGACGACGUCAAAUCAUCAUGCCCCUUAUGUCUUGGGCUUCACGCAUGCUACAAUGGCCGGUACAAUGGGUUGCGAUACUGUGAGGUGGAGCUAAUCCCAAAAAGCCGGUCUCAGUUCGGAUUGGGGUCUGCAACUCGACCCCANGAANUCGGANU